CAGGGAUUGCCUCAGUAACGGCGAGUGAAGCGGCAACAGCUCAAAUUUGAAAUCUGACCCCCUCGGGGCCCGAGUUGUAAUUUGUAGAGGGUGUUUCGGGCGCGGCGCCGGUCUAAGUUCCUUGGAACAGGACGUCACAGAGGGUGAGAAUCCCGUAUGUGACCGGCGAUCAAGCCCAUGUGAAGCCCCUUCGACGAGUCGAGUUGUUUGGGAAUGCAGCUCAAAAUGGGUGGUAAAUUUCAUCUAAAGCUAAAUACUGGCCAGAGACCGAUAGCGGACAAGUAGAGUGAUCGAAAGAUGAAAAGCACUUUGGAAAGAGAGUCAAACAGUACGUGAAAUUGUUGAAAGGGAAGCGCUUGCAAUCAGACCGGUCCGGGGGUGAUCAGCCGCUGCUCGUCAGCGGUGCACUCGCCCUCGAUCCGGCCAGCAUCGGUUUGGGCGGCGGGAAAAAAGUCCCGGGAAUGUAGCUUCUCUCGGGGAGUCUUAUAGCCCGGGUCGGCAUGCCGCCCGCCUGGACCGAGGACCGCGCUUCGGCUAGGAUGCUGGCGUAAUGGUUGCAAGCGACCCGUCUUGAAACACGGACCAAGGAGUCUAACAUCUAUGCGAGUGUUUGGGUGUCAAACCCGGGCGCGGAAUGAAAGUGAACGGAGGUGGGAACCCGUCAGACGGCGCACCAUCGACCGAUCCAGAUGUCUUCGGAUGGAUUUGAGUACGAGCAUAGCUGUUGGGACCCGAAAGAUGGUGAACUAUGCCCGGAUAGGGUGAAGCCAGAGGAAACUCUGGUGGAGGCUCGCAGCGGUUCUGACGUGCAAAUCGAUCGUCAAAUCUAGGCAUAGGGGCGAAAGACCAAUCGAACCAUCUAG
rnacentral:rRNA from 1 species